UACGUAGGGUGCAAGCGUUAAUCGGAAUUACUGGGCGUAAAGCGUGCGCAGGCGGUUGUGCAAGACAGAUGUGAAAUCCCCGGGCUCAACCUGGGAACUGCAUUUGUGACUGCACGGCUAGAGUGCGGCAGAGGGAGAUGGAAUUCCGCGUGUAGCAGUGAAAUGCGUAGAGAUGUGGAGGAACACCGAUGGCGAAGGCAGCCCCCUGGGUCAAGAUUGACGCUCAUGCACGAAAGCGUGGGGAGCAAACAGG
rnacentral:rRNA from 1 species